GAUGAACGCUGGCGGCGUGCUUAACACAUGCAAGUCGAACGGGAAUUACUUUAUUGAAACUUCGGUCGAUUUAAUUUAAUUCUAGUGGCGGACGGGUGAGUAACGCGUGGGUAACCUGCCUUAUACAGGGGGAUAACAGUCAGAAAUGACUGCUAAUACCGCAUAAGCGCACAGAGCUGCAUGGCUCAGUGUGAAAAACUCCGGUGGUAUAAGAUGGACCCGCGUUGGAUUAGCUGGUUGGUGAGGUAACGGCCCACCAAGGCGACGAUCCAUAGCCGGCCUGAGAGGGUGAACGGCCACAUUGGGACUGAGACACGGCCCAGACUCCUACGGGAGGCAGCAGUGGGGAAUAUUGCACAAUGGGGGAAACCCUGAUGCAGCGACGCCGCGUGAAGGAAGAAGUAUCUCGGUAUGUAAACUUCUAUCAGCAGGGAAGAGAUUGACGGUACCUGACUAAGAAGCCCCGGCUAACUACGUGCCAGCCGCCGCGGUAA
rnacentral:rRNA from 1 species